GGUGGAUGCCUUGGCACUAAGAGCCGAUGAAAGACGUGAUAAGCUGCGAAAAGCUUCGGGGAGGAGCAAAUAUCCUACGAUCCGGAGAUAUCUGAAUGGGGAAACCCACUUGAGCAAUCCUCAAGUAUCCAUACGCCAAUCCAUAACGUAUGGAAGGGAACCCGGGGAACUGAAACAUCUAAGUACCCGGAGGAAAAGAAAGAAAACUCGAUUCCCAAAGUAGCGGCGAGCGAAAUGGGAGGAGCCUAAACCGGAAUGCGUGCAUUCCGGGGUUAUGGACUGUCACACGUGACUUGAAUGGUAAAAGAACGGUUUUGGGAAAUCCGGCCAGAGAGGGUGAAAGCCCCGUAUUUGAAACCAGAAGAGAGCAGACAGUAUCCAAAGUACCACGAGACACGAGAAACCUUGUGGGAAGUCGGGGGGACCACCCCCCAAGGCUAAAUACUACUUAGUGACCGAUAGUGCAUAGUACUGUGAAGGAAAGGUGAAAAGAACCCCGGGAGGGGAGUGAAAAAGAACCUGAAACCCUGUGUUUACAAGCUGUGGAACCACUUUAUAUGUGGAACCGCGUACUUUUUGUAGAACGGUCCAGCGAGUUACGCUGGCUGGCAAGGUUAAGCACUCAAAGUGUGGAGCCGGAGGGAAACCAAGUCUUAAUAGGGCGAAUUAGUCGGCCAGAGUAGACCCGAAACCGGGUGAUCUAUCCAUGUCCAGGUUGAAGUUACCGUAAAAGGUAAUGGAGGACCGAACGCACAUCCGUUGAAAAGGGUGGCGAUGAGGUGUGGAUAGGGGAGAAAUUCCAAUCGAACCCGGAGAUAGCUGGUUCUCCUCGAAAUAGCUUUAGGGCUAGCCUCAUAUUAGUCUAACGGAGGUAGAGCACUGAAUUUCCUAGGGGGCGUCAAAGCUUACCAAAGAAUAUCAAACUCCGAAUGCCGUAUAGAUGAUGUAUGGGAGUCAGACUGCACGAGAUAAGUUGGGCAGUCAAAAGGGAAAGAGCCCAGACCUCCAGCUAAGGUCCCAAAGUGUGUGUUAAGUGGAAAAGGAUGUGGGAUUUCGAAGACAACUAGGAUGUUGGCUCAGAAGCAGCCAUCCAUUAAAAGAGUGCGUAAUAGCUCACUAGUCGAGAGGUCCUGCGCCGAAAAUGUCCGGGGCUGAAACACAACACCGAAGCUGAGGAAUGACAUAGUCAUUGGUAGAGGAGCAUUCUUAACUGAGACGAAGCUGUACCGUAAGGAGCAGUGGAUUGUUAAGAAGAGAGAAUGCUGGAAUGAGUAGCGAGAGGAAGGUGAGAAUCCUUCCGGCCGAAUAUCCAAGGUUUCCAGAGUAAAGCUGAUCUGCUCUGGGUAAGUCGGGGCCUAAGGCGAGGUCGAAAGACGUAGUCGAUGGACAACAGGUUGAGAUUCCUGUACUAUCGUAUAACAGAACUGUGGGGACACAGAUGGAAAGCACAAACCGGGAAUGGAAAAACCGGUACAAGCGGGGUAGGAGUAGUAAAGGCAAAUCCGUACUACAAUCUGAAGACGUGAUGUGGAGCGAACUAAAGUAGCGAAGUGUGUGAGCCAGCUGUCAAGAAAAGCCGCUAUUGUUUAUAUGAUACCCGUACCGUAAACCGACACAGGUGGAUGAGGAGAGAAUCCUAAGGCCGACGGAAGAAGCAUUGUUAAGGAACUCGGCAAAAUGACCCCGUAACUUCGGGAGAAGGGGUGCCUCGAAAGAGGCCGCAGAGAAUAGGCUCAAGCAACUGUUUAGCAAAAACACAGGUCUAUGCAAAACCGCAAGGUGAAGUAUAUGGGCUGACGCCUGCCCGGUGCUGGAAGGUUAAGAGGAGAUGUUAGCGCAAGCGAAGCAUUGAAUUUAAGCCCCAGUAAACGGCGGCCGUAACUAUAACGGUCCUAAGGUAGCGAAAUUCCUUGUCGGGUAAGUUC
rnacentral:rRNA from 1 species